CUUAAGUGAAAAGAAAAGGCCGAUGCCUAAAGAGAGAAGAGAGCUGGUUCGGAUAGUCAUUGACGAUGUACUCAGUAAAGUGCGAGAAGAUUGUAGGACAACAUCCCUGCUCUUUUCAAGACAGAGAGCUCAAUGGAAGUAAAGUCAUUGGAACAGGAUAUGAUGCUCUGUUCAUACAGCUAGAAAACAGACUUGAAAAUAUUAGAAGGCCAUUUACCUUCAGCUCAACUAAGAAGGCAGCAAAGGGUGAAGACGCAGAAAGGAAAAAGUCUACCCUCUCUGAUCGUUAUGGGUGUGUGGAGUGGCAGCCUGCUGUUGAGGAUGUAGCAGAACUAGAGUCUAAACAAGAUGACUUGAAAAGUGCCUUCAAAACCCAUCUUCUUCAAGAGUUGUGUGUUCGCAAAUUGAUGACUGAAACAUAUUCCAUCCAGCGUGCAACAAUAAACAAAGGAAGCACUGUAAAAACUGUACAGGAAGAGUGGCCCUUCAUUUUUGAAGCGCUUCACCUGUUUGACCACACAUGUACGCUCAUUGGCUUACCAGUGCAAACAAAGCUGGCAGAGGAAAUGUCCAUGAAGGGAAAGAGCAUCAAAGACUACCUAGACUCAAAUGGGAUGAAGAUGCCACCAGGUGAAGAUCCAGUACAACUGAUCUCAGGCAUUGCAAAGUUCUUCAAAGAAAAGCCCGAUCUCCUUUUCUACCAAAGUGAGGAGUCAAAUGGACUGAGCAUCCCAAGCACACCUUGCAUCCUUAUCAUGGAGUUUUCCUGGGAAUAAAUCCUGAGCGAGGGUCAAAGGCCGAGAAGAAGGGGACCAAACACCAGCCCAUUCCUCCAAGACUGCUGAAGUUCCUGUUUGAACUAAACAACUUUGAGAAUCCAUGGAUGGCAAAUUGAGCUGUUUUGCCAUGUAUUUGGAAACGUUUAAAAGAAAGUAGAAAAGCUGUUUUACUUGUUUCUGACCACCUUUUGGUUCAAAACCAUUAUUGUCAUGUUAUUAAUGAAUGUAUCGUUGUUUACUUUCUUGCUAUUUAAACAAUUUUAUACAAAAUGAGCACUUUUUAAUUGUGCGUCGCACCAUUUUUUUUGGUGAAUUUUCGUUCGAUGCAUUGUUUGUCUGUUAUGUGUUUAAAGCUAUACAAAUUCUAAGAUCUCAUGAUGAUCUAGGCCAUCCCCGGAAUGCACUUUAUGAAUAAUAGUUUUAAUGUUAAAUUGGUUUUAUUCUGUUUGUUACUGUUUUAAAGCAACAAGUCUGAUCCAAAUAUGCAUAUUGUCGCAUAUUGCAAACCAAAUAUGCAUAUUGUUGCAUAUUGUUAAAAUAAUUCGUAAAAAACUUGUCAUUUAAAAAUGUAACCAUUGAAUGCACUUUUAUGCAUAUCCUUCAUGGCAUAAAAAAUAAACAUGUUGAAUUUAUAUAUGUUGUGAUUGUA